GACGAACGCUGGCGGCGUGCCUAAUACAUGCAAGUCGAGCGCAGGAAACUGACGGAACUCUUCGGAGGGAAGGCAGCGGAAUGAGCGGCGGACGGGUGAGUAACACGUAAGGAACCUGCCUCAAGGAUUGGGAUAACUCCGAGAAAUCGGAGCUAAUACCGGAUAGUUCAACGGACCGCAUGGUCCGCUGAUGAAAGGCGCUCCGGCGUCACCUUGAGAUGGCCUUGCGGUGCAUUAGCUAGUUGGUGGGGUGACGGCCCACCAAGGCGACGAUGCAUGGCCGACCUGAGAGGGUGAUCGGCAACACUGGGACUGAGACACGGCCCAGACUCCUACGGGAGGCAGCAGUAGGGAAUCUUCCACAAUGGACGAAAGUCUGAUGGAGCAACGCCGCGUGAGUGAUGAAGGUUUUCGGAUCGUAAAACUCUGUUGUAAGGGAAGAACACGUACGAGAGGAAAUGCUCGUACCUUGACGGUACCUUACGAGAAAGCCACGGCUAACUACGUGCCAGCCGCCGCCGUAA
rnacentral:rRNA from 1 species